rnacentral:rRNA from 1 species
UAGGGAAUCUUCGGCAAUGGACGAAAGUCUGACCGAGCAACGCCGCGUGAGUGAAGAAGGUUUUCGGAUCGUAAAACUCUGUUGUUAGAGAAGAACAAGGACGUUAGUAACUGAACGUCCCCUGACGGUAUCUAACCAGAAAGCCACGGCUAACUACGUGCCAGCAGCCGCGGUAAUACGUAGGUGGCAAGCGUUGUCCGGAUUUAUUGGGCGUAAAGCGAGCGCAGGCGGUUUCUUAAGUCUGAUGUGAAAGCCCCCGGCUCAACCGGGGAGGGUCAUUGGAAACUGGGAGACUUGAGUGCAGAAGAGGAGAAUGGAAUUCCAGGUGUAGCGGUGAAUUGCGUAGAAAUCUGGAGGAAUACCAGUGGCGAAGGCGGCCCCCUGGACGACGACAGACGCUCAAGUGCGAAAGAGUGGGGAGCAAACAGG